rnacentral:misc_RNA from 1 species
GACGAAGAACGUAGCGAAAUGCGAUACGUAAUGUGAAUUGCAGAAUUCAGUGAAUCAUCGAGUCUCUGAACGCACAUUGCGCCCCCUGGUAUUCCGGGGGGCAUGCCUGUCCGAGCGUCAUUGCUGCCCUCAAGCACGGCUUGUGUGUUGGGCCUCCGUCCUCCUCCCGGGGGACGGGCCCGAAAGGCAGCGGCGGCACCGCGUCCGGUCCUCGAGCGUAUGGGGCUUCGUCACCCGCUCUUGUAGGCCCGGCCGGCGCUUGCCGACACAUCAAUCUUUUUUCCAGGUUGACCUCGGAUCAGGUAGGGAUACCCGCUGAACUUAAGCAUAUCAAUAAGCGGAGGA